UCUGCCAGGGAGUCCAGGUGGUAUCUGGCUCCCAGAAGGGCGCUCUCCACCACCAACAACCAAUGUUGCCAACACAGAGAUGACGAAUUGAAGCCCGAGGAGGUUCAUUGAUUUAGCCAAGCCCACACAGGCAGCUAUGCCUGUCAAGCAGAGCUUUUGUAAGACUUCCUACUAAGGAGAGAAGGAGUUGGAGUAUGGUCUUGAUUGUGCAUCUACUGUCCCUGGACCCAGGCAAGCUGAAUUCAUCA